GGAUACCUUGUUACGACUUCACCCCAGUCAUCGACAGCGGCUUGGACGCCUGCCUCCCGGUAAUUUGCACUACCGGGUUGGCCCAACGUCUUCUGCCAAUAUCAACUCCCAUGGUGUGACGGGCCUUGUACACACCGCCCGUCACACCACGAAAGCGGGCAACACCCGAAGCCGGUGGCCCAACCCGCAAGGGAAGGAACCGUCGAAGGUGGGGGUCGUGAUUGGGGGUGAAGUCGUAACAAGGUAGCC
rnacentral:rRNA from 1 species